CCUACGUGAGGCAGCAGUGAGGAAUAUUGGUCAAUGGGAGAGAUCCUGAACCAGCCAAGCCGCGUGAGGGAAGACGGCCCUAUGGGUUGUAAACCUCUUUUGUCGGAGCACAAAACCCGGGACGCGUCCCGGACUGCGUGUAUCCUACGACCAAGCAUCGGCUAACUCCGUGCCAGCUGCCGCGGUAAUACGGGGGCUGCGAGCGUUAUCCGGAUUUAUUGGGUUUAAAGGGUUCGUAGGCGGUCUGUUAAGGCCGCGGCAAAAUUGCGGGGCUCAACCCCGUCGAGCCGUUGAAACUGGCAGACUUGAGUUGGCUAGAAGGACGCGGAAUGCGCGGUGUAGCGGUGAAAUGCAUAGAUAUCGCGCAGAACUCCGAUGGCGAAGGCAGCGUACCGGCGCCAGACUGACGCUGAGGCACGAAAGCGUGGGGAUCGAACAGGAUUAGAUACCCCUGUAGUC
rnacentral:rRNA from 1 species